GAUGAACGCUAGCGGCAGGCCUAACACAUGCAAGUCGAGGGGUAGCAGGAUUAAGCUUGCUUAAUUGCUGACGACCGGCGCACGGGUGCGUAACGCGUAUGCAACCUACCUUAUACUGGGGUAUAGCCCGGAGAAAUUCGGAUUAAUCCCCCAUAGUACUAAUGAAUCGCAUGGUGUAUUAGUUAAAGCCUUGCGGUAUAAGAUGGGCAUGCGUCCUAUUAGCUAGAUGGUGAGGUAAAGGCUCACCAUGGCUACGAUAGGUAGGGGGCCUGGGGGGGUGGUCCCCCACACUGGUACGGAGACACGGACCAGACUCCUACGGGAGGCAGCAGUGAGGAAUAUUGGUCAAUGGGCGCAAGCCUGAACCAGCCAUGCCGCGUGCAGGAAGAAUGCCCUAUGGGUUGUAAACUGCUUUUAUUUGGGAAUAAACCUCUUUACGUGUAGAGAGCUGAAGGUACCAAAUGAAUAAGCACCGGCUAACUCCGUGCCAGCCGCCGCAGUAA
rnacentral:rRNA from 1 species